rnacentral:rRNA from 1 species
CUACGGGCGGCAGCAGUGAGGAAUAUUGCACAAUGGGGGGAACCCUGACGCAGCAACGCCGCGUGGAGGAUGACGCAUUUCGGUGUGUAAACUCCUUUUAUAUGUCAAGAAAAUGACGGUAGCAUAUGAAUAAGCACCGGCUAACUCCGUGCCAGCGGCCGCGGUAAUACGGAGGGUGCAAGCGUUACUCGGAAUCACUGGGCGUAAAGGACGCGUAGGCGGGUUGGAAAGUCAGGUGUGAAAUCCUACAGCUUAACUGUAGAACUGCACUUGAAACUUCUAAUCUAGAGUAUGGGAGGGGGAGAUGGAAUUAGUGGUGUAGGGGUAAAAUCCGUAGAUAUCACUAGGAAUACCUAAAGCGAAGGCGAUCUCCUGGAACAUUACUGACGCUAAGGCGUGAAAGCGUGGGGAGCAAACAGGAUUAGAUACCCUCGUAGUC